AGGUAGAGAAUACCGAGGCGUUCGGGUGAACUAUGGUUAAGGAACUCGGCAAAAUGCCCCCGUAACUUCGGGAGAAGGGGGGCCACAUCUGGUGAUGAGCUUUGCGCUCUGAGCUGGGGGUGGCCGCAGAGACCAGCGAGAAGCGACUGUUUACUAAAAACACAGGUCCGUGCGAAGCCGUAAGGCGAUGUAUACGGACUGACGCCUGCCCGGUGCUGGAACGUUAAGGGACCGUUAGCUCCAUUUCGGUGGGCAAGCUGAGAACUUAAGCGCCAGUAAACGGCGGUGGUAACUAUAACCAUCCUAAGGUAGCGAAAUUCCUUGUCGGGUAAUUCCGACUGCACGAAUGGCGUAACGACUUC
rnacentral:ncRNA from 1 species